ACCAAGAUUACAUGCACACAUAUAAUUUGCAACUAGCAUAAUAUGAUAUUAUGCUAGUUGCAAAUUAUAUGUGUGCAUGUAAUCUUGGU